GCUGGCGCGCCUCCCUGUUGUUUGCCGAAAUCUUCACUCCUCCUGAGACUCCACAGGGUGAAUUAUGACUAAGAGUUUUAUCCCAAGAUUUGCCGACAAUGAGGAUGAAUUUCUUCCUGAGCCAGGAGAGCUUGAAUAUCUCGUGAUGCUUGAUAUUGAAAAUCUUCUUCAGCAGCUGCAGCAAUUGGAAAAUAUUGCACUUGGUCAUCACGUGCAAGUUGAGGAAGCACCUCAGGUUGAAGAGCCCCAUGGAGAAGCUGAUCUCCAGGAGUCGCCUGAAGAUGAAACUGCUGAUGAAAACGAAGAAAAUCCAGAAGGUGAUGAGGCAUCAGAGCAUAGUGGGAGCCCUACAGUGCCAGAAGCAAGUAAUUAAUGAAGGUGCAACAGUGAAGGAGACUCAGAUGUUUAAGUGAAGACAUGAAAUCCUGCAAUUGCUCUUCCAUGGAUGUUGGGAUUUCAAUUCUCAAUAAAGAUGCAGAGUUUCCUGGAAAGACA